UCCGUAGGCGGAUUGAUAAGUCAGAGGUGAAAUCCCACAGCUUAACUGUGGAACUGCCUUUGAAACUGUUAGUCUUGAGUUAUAUGGAAGUAGAUAGAAUGUGUAGUGUAGCGGUGAAAUGCAUAGAGAUUGCACAGAAUACCGAUUGCGAAGGCAGUCUACUACGUAUAUACUGACGCUAAUGGACGAAAGCGUGGGGAGCGAACAGGAUUAGAUACCCUGGUAGUCC
rnacentral:rRNA from 1 species